AGAGUUUGAUCAUGGCUCAGAUUGAACGCUGGCGGCAGGCCUAACACAUGCAAGUCGAACGGUAACAGGAAACAGCUUGCUGUUUCGGUGACGAGUGGCGGACGGGUGAGUAAUGUCUGGGAAACUGCCUGAUGGAGGGGGAUAACUACUGGAAACGGUAGCUAAUACCGCAUAACGUCGCAAGACCAAAGAGGGGGACCUUCGGGCCUCUUGCCAUCGGAUGUGCCCAGAUGGGAUUAGCUUGUUGGUGGGGUAACGGCUCACCAAGGCGACGAUCCCUAGCUGGUCUGAGAGGAUGACCAGCCACACUGGAACUGAGACACGGUCCAGACUCCUACGGGAGGCAGCAGUGGGGAAUAUUGCACAAUGGGCGCAAGCCUGAUGCAGCCAUGCCGCGUGUAUGAAGAAGGCCUUCGGGUUGUAAAGUACUUUCAGCGGGGAGGAAGGGAGUAAAGUUAAUACCUUUGCUCAUUGACGUUACCCGCAGAAGAAGCACCGGCUAACUCCGUGCCAGCAGCCGCGGUAAUACGGAGGGUGCAAGCGUUAAUCGGAAUUACUGGGCGUAAAGCGCACGCAGGCGGUUUGUUAAGUCAGAUGUGAAAUCCCCGGGCUCAACCUGGGAACUGCAUCUGAUACUGGCAAGCUUGAGUCUCGUAGAGGGGGGUAGAAUUCCAGGUGUAGCGGUGAAAUGCGUAGAGAUCUGGAGGAAUACCGGUGGCGAAGGCGGCCCCCUGGACGAAGACUGACGCUCAGGUGCGAAAGCGUGGGGAGCAAACAGGAUUAGAUACCCUGGUAGUCCACGCCGUAAACGAUGUCGACUUGGAGGUUGUGCCCUUGAGGCGUGGCUUCCGGAGCUAACGCGUUAAGUCGACCGCCUGGGGAGUACGGCCGCAAGGUUAAAACUCAAAUGAAUUGACGGGGGCCCGCACAAGCGGUGGAGCAUGUGGUUUAAUUCGAUGCAACGCGAAGAACCUUACCUGGUCUUGACAUCCACGGAAGUUUUCAGAGAUGAGAAUGUGCCUUCGGGAACCGUGAGACAGGUGCUGCAUGGCUGUCGUCAGCUCGUGUUGUGAAAUGUUGGGUUAAGUCCCGCAACGAGCGCAACCCUUAUCCUUUGUUGCCAGCGGUCCGGCCGGGAACUCAAAGGAGACUGCCAGUGAUAAACUGGAGGAAGGUGGGGAUGACGUCAAGUCAUCAUGGCCCUUACGACCAGGGCUACACACGUGCUACAAUGGCGCAUACAAAGAGAAGCGACCUCGCGAGAGCAAGCGGACCUCAUAAAGUGCGUCGUAGUCCGGAUUGGAGUCUGCAACUCGACUCCAUGAAGUCGGAAUCGCUAGUAAUCGUGGAUCAGAAUGCCACGGUGAAUACGUUCCCGGGCCUUGUACACACCGCCCGUCACACCAUGGGAGUGGGUUGCAAAAGAAGUAGGUAGCUUAACCUUCGGGAGGGCGCUUACCACUUUGUGAUUCAUGACUGGGGUGAAGUCGUAACAAGGUAACCGUAGGGGAACCUGCGGUUG
rnacentral:rRNA from 1 species